CCUACGGGCGGCUGCAGUGGGGGAUCUUGCACAAUGGGGGAAACCCUGAUGCAGCGACGCCGCGUGAGUGAAGAAGUAUUUCGGUACGUAAAGCUCUGUUAGCAGGGAAGAAAAUGACAGUAAGUGACUAUGAAGGUCUUGCUAACUACGUGCCAGCAGCCGCGGUAAUACGGAGGGGGCAAGCGUUAUCCGGAUUUACUGGGUGUAAAGGGAGCGUAGGCGGUUAUGUAAGUCUGGCGUGAAAGCCCAGGGCCCAACCGCGGGGCUGCAUUGGAAACUGGAUAACUGGAGUGCAGGAGGGGAAAGCGGAAUUCCAGGUGUAGCGGUGAAAUGCGUAGAGAUAAGGAGGAACACCAGCGGCGAAGGCGACCUGCUGGUCUGAAACUGACGUUGAGGUUCGAAAGCGUGGGGAGCAAACAGGAUUAGAUACCCGGGUAGUC
rnacentral:rRNA from 1 species